CAGUCGAGCGACAGAUAAGGAGCUUGCUCCUUUGACGUUAGCGGCGGACGGGUGAGUAACACGUGGGUAACCUACCUAUAAGACUGGAAUAACUCCGGGAAACCGGGGCUAAUGCCGGAUAACAUUUAGAACCGCAUGGUUCUAAAGUGAAAGAUGGUUUUGCUAUCACUUAUAGAUGGACCCGCGCCGUAUUAGCUAGUUGGUAAGGUAACGGCUUACCAAGGCAACGAUACGUAGCCGACCUGAGAGGGUGAUCGGCCACACUGGAACUGAGACACGGUCCAGACUCCUACGGGAGGCAGCAGUAGGGAAUCUUCCGCAAUGGGCGAAAGCCUGACGGAGCAACGCCGCGUGAGUGAUGAAGGGUUUCGGCUCGUAAAACUCUGUUAUUAGGGAAGAACAAACGUGUAAGUAACUGUGCACGUCUUGACGGUACCUAAUCAGAAAGCCACGGCUAACUACGUGCCAGCAGCCGCGGUAAUACGUAGGUGGCAAGCGUUAUCCGGAAUUAUUGGGCGUAAAGCGCGCGUAGGCGGUUUCUUAAGUCUGAUGUGAAAGCCCACGGCUCAACCGUGGAGGGUCAUUGGAAACUGGGAGACUUGAGUGCAGAAGAGGAAAGUGGAAUUCCAUGUGUAGCGGUGAAAUGCGCAGAGAUAUGGAGGAACACCAGUGGCGAAGGCGACUUUCUGGUCUGUAACUGACGCUGAUGUGCGAAAGCGUGGGGAUCAAACAGGAUUAGAUACCCUGGUAGUCCACGCCGUAAACGAUGAGUGCUAAGUGU
rnacentral:rRNA from 1 species